AUUGAACGCUGGCGGCAGGCCUAACACAUGCAAGUCGAACGAGUGGCGGACGGGUGAGUAAUGUCUGGGCAACUGCCUGAUGGAGGGGGAUAACUACUGGAAACGGUAGCUAAUACCGCAUACCAUCGGAUGAGCCCAGAUGGGAUUAGCGAGUAGGUGGGGUAACGGCUCACGUAGGCGACGAUCCCUCGCUGGUAUGAGGGGAUGACCAGCCACACUUGAACUGAGAAACGGUCCAGACUCCUACGGGAGGCAGCAGUGGGGAAUAGUGCACAAUGGGCGCAAGCCUGAUGCAGCCAUGCCGCGUGUAUGAAGAAGUCCUUCGGGUUGUAAAUUACUUUCAGCGGGGAGGCGUUACCCGCAGAAGAAGCACCGGCUAACUCCGUGCCAGCAGCCGCGGUAAUUC
rnacentral:rRNA from 1 species